rnacentral:rRNA from 1 species
AAGUCGUAACAAGGUUUCCGUAGGUGAACCUGCGGAAGGAUCAUUACAGUAGUAAUGCACGCGGGGGGCCGGCUUCGUGUCGCCCCCGUGUACAGGCCUCGACCGUAAAAGGUCGAGCGACCUGUUAAACCCUUUGUGAAAACCCCCAAGUUGCUUCGGCAGCUCGCUGCUAUUAAGUUAGCGGCGGUCAGCCUGCCGACGGCACCCAUGGAAACUCAUUUAUGUAACUUAGCACUUGUACGUCUGAGCGCGAAGUCGAAUUGACUAUAAAACUUUCAACAACGGAUCUCUUGGUUCCCGCAUCGAUGAAGAACGCAGCGAAACGCGAUAGUUAAUGUGAAUUGCAGAAUUCAGUGAAUCAUCGAGUCUUUGAACGCACAUUGCGCCUUUUGGUAUUCCGAAAGGCACGUCUGUUCGAGCGUCAGUAAAACCCUUCCGGACCGGUGGUUUUUGUAAACCGCCUGGCCUCGGGACCCUGGCGUGGGGAAGUGACCCGCGAGCCCUUAGGGGCUUGUCUGGGUUUCCCCCGCUUAAACGCGGAGAAAGCUAGCGGGCAUCGGCCUCACAAAUUGCGACAACUCGUAAAUUUUAUAGGUUGUAACAGCACAGUGGACCUGCCCCGCCUCUUGCAACAACAAGGAAUUGGUUAACCCCCAAUUCCCCUGACCUUUGACCUCGGAUCAGAUGAGGAUACCCGCUGAACUUAA